UCUCUGAAAGCAGAGCGGGACGUCACAAAGGAGGAGCUGAGCGAUGCUGGUGGACAUCACGACGCCAACAGUCAAUUGGUCGUUUCUUUAUUAUCGGGGUGUAACGGAUCACAAAAGUCACGGUCCGGAUCAUUUUUCAGAUCAGUAAGACGUAAAAGAAACUAGAUAAAAUCCUAAAAUUACUUUUUUGAAAAAAAUGUAAAAAUGUAAAAAUAUAUAAUCACACGUUUGAACAUGAAACAACAGCCUUAGAACGCGGGACAAGUGUGGGCCGAACCGUGACCCGUGAUCGGUACAGACCAGAUUAUUCGUGGUCCAUUACACCCCUAUUUAUUAUUAUUUAUUUUUAAACUCAAACUACGGUGUGUUCUAACGCCGCGUCUGCCGUUCUCUUUGACAUUUGUGCAGUAGUGCUAAUCGGGGUCAGUAAUAACGUCACAGGAAGUUUUAGGAAGACUCAGUCACCAUAGCAACACGCCAACAGAGCUCAAGAGAGGAAAACAUCAAAAAAUAAAAGUCAAACGUGUCCAGUGCCAUCUCUGCAGAACUCUUGGAUGAAGAGAGAUCAUCGAACAGUCUGUGGAUGCUGCAGAGGGGAACAGCAUUUCAACGGUCUGUUCAUGCAACCCUCAACAGAAGACUGACUGAUCUGCAUCAACUUUUCACAACAGGAAGUGGCCCAGCAUUUCUUCAUUCUUCAUUUAGCCACACCCUGAUGAAGCAAGAACCUCUUCAAGCUCCCCCCCAAACAACAACCAGCAUUCCAGCUCACAGACUGCAGAGAAUUCUGGGAAUGCUUCAUCGGGACUCCUCGGAGCGGCUCACCUCAUCUCCCUCUCCUCGUGCUGGGCGAUGAGGUUGCUGUAGAAGUUCUCCAGGGUCACCUUGGCCAUGGUGACCCGCUCCUUGGUGUGGUUGCUCAUGGAGGAAAACGAGCUCUGUCCGGUCAUUGCCAUGCUCUACCUGGAAAAUUAAAACGUGUCAUUUAUGCA